rnacentral:rRNA from 1 species
AGAGAUGUGUGAUGACGCAUAUCAAUAAGCGGAGGAAAAGAGACUAACAAGGAUUCCCUUAGUAACGGCGAGUGAAGCGGGAAGAGCUCAAAUUUGAAAUCUUCAAGGUUCUACCUUGACGAAUUGUAGUUUAUAGAAGUGUUUUCUGUUAGUAGAGUGGCAAAAGUUCUUUGGAAUAGGACAUCAUAGAGGGUGAGAAUCCCGUAUUUGGUCAUUCUUUCUAGCUUUGUGAUACACUUUCAACGAGUCGGAUUGUUUGGGAAUGCAGUCCAAAAUGGGUGGUAAAUUUCAUCUAAAGCUAAAUAUUGGCGAGAGACCGAUAGCGAACAAGUACCGUGAGGGAAAGAUGGAAAAGAACUUUGAGAAGAGAGUUAAACAGUACGUGAAAUUGUCAAAAGGGAAGCGUUUGACACCAGUGUUGUUUUUCCGAAAAUCAAUUACGAAUGUUUUAUUUUUGAGAAGUUAUGACUUCAUCGGCUUGCUCCUUUCUUUAUGAAACUUUCUUAAUGCACUUUUCGGUUAACAAGUCAACAUCAAUUUCUUUUGUUGUAAAAGAGUAUUGGGAAGGUGGCUUUCUUUUCGGAGAAAGUGUUUAUAGCCUUGUGCCUCUGCAAUCGGAGAGAUUGAGGUCUGCAGCGUAGAUCCUUCGGGGUUAGAUACGUUUGUGCUAAGUUAUAGCUUUUCAUAGACAACUUGUUGACUAUGUUUAGUCUUGUAGCUUACUCGCUUACGCUAUUUUACCUACGCUUAGGAUGUUGACGAUCAGCUGAGCGCG